AGCUCCAAUAGCGUAUACUAAUAUUGCUGCAGUUAAAAAGCUCGUAGUUGAAUUUCUGGUGACACGGUCUGGCCGGUUACUUAAUUGUGACUUGUGCCAUCGCCUUGUUGCCAUCUUUUGGUUUAACCAAUCUGGCAUUAGGUUGUCGGGUUGGUGAUACCAAUCGUUUACUGUGAAGAAAUUAGAGUGUUCAAAGCAGGCUUAUGCCGUUGAAUAUUUUAGCAUGGAAUAAUAAGAUAGGACUCUGGUGCUAUUUUGUUGGUUUGCGCACUAGAGUAAUGAUUAAUAGGGACAGUUGGGGAUAUUUGUACUAGGGAAUUAGAGGUGAAAUUCUUGGAUUUCCUUAUGACAAACGACUGCGAAAGCAUUUAUCAGGGAUGUUUUCAUUAAUCAAGAACGA
rnacentral:rRNA from 1 species